rfam:Aedes albopictus isolate Foshan contig29969, whole genome shotgun sequence.
ACCUGAAGACCUCAGUCGGUAGAGCAUGAGACUCUUAAUCUCAGGGUCGUGGGAUCGUGCCCCACGUUGGGCG